rnacentral:lncRNA from 1 species
UGGCUAAUUGUGAUAAUAGCAUGUGCUCACACCCUUUUUCUUGUUUUGUGCCACGUAUCAACCCCUCCGUUAAUCUCUCGACCUCACCGUCCACCCAGUGGACCGCUACAUCCCGACACAUCUUUCCGUCUCCAUCUUUCACAUCUCUACUCACCGCACACUUCAUCUUCAUCACCGUUGGGCUCCGCCGGAAUCACCUGCUGCCGCCGCGAGUUUUCACCGCCACUGCCCUUUGUUUCUUCCCAUGCUCGAAGCCAGUCACGAUCCUUCAAUUCUUCUGCCAAUUAACUCCGUUUUCUGACCAGCAGUCCACCCCAUCUUUGAUUAUUCCGAUUGGGUAUAUCUCGAAUUUUCUCCUCUAUUAGUUAUGUGUGUAUGUAUAUGUGUAGAACUGAUUGUGUGAUGUCUAUUGCUGUGAAUUAGUAAAUUUUAAUUCAAAUCAGAUUACACACAAAUAUAUGCAGUUAUAUGGGUUGUGUUAAUUAUAAUAUUUGUUAAUUGCAAGGGUUGUGUGGUAUUAAACUGAAUAGUUUAGUAUGGCUUAUUGUUGUGUACUUGAAUUAACAAGAGUAUAUGACCGGGUAUCAAACUUUUUGAUUUGAGAAUAUAUGUAUAAGUAUGUUGCUUGUUUAUAUGUUAUUGGAAGGAUAGUUUAAGAGUUUAAAUAGUGGAUUAAAGAUUUAGAAUUAUACAUAAUCAAGUCGAAGUUUUUAGACUGCUGCUGGGCUGUUUUUGAAGCACAGUUCUGGGCUUAUUGAGUCAAGUUUUAUGUUUAAUAUUUCUGUGAUAAAAGUCUCCUUGAUGUCUAGUUUAUGUGCGCGAAAGAAUCGAAUCGAUUCGAUUAGCGAGCUAGGAGAUAUGACAGUGUUUUAGUAUGGUAUGUGCAGAGUACAAAACUGCUUCGUUUUUCGACCUUCUAAACUAAAGUUUAAUUACUUAAACUUUGAUUUCCAAGCCAAAACUUAUUUUGUAGCUACUCAGGGAGUUUAGGGAGGUCUUACAAAAAUUCAAGUGAAAAACUUGUAUUUUUGAUUUAUUAAAAAUGUUUGAAUGUCGGCAGCGCAAACUUGUGAAAAAAUUCUGUUUUGAUGUCACAAAGAGAAUUUUUGUUUUUACAAGUUUAAAUCUAUGAGUUGGGUUUGAAAUUUCUAUGACCUCUGCGUAUAAGAUUUAUAAAGAUCUCGGAGGUAUAUUUUGUUAAAAAGUUGAAUUAUUGACUUAUAAUUUAGCUAUGAUUUCAGAGUUUGCUAAUUAUUUAAAUUCAGUCAAUGAGUAAUGGUUGAUGUUAUUUGAUUGGUAUAUUGAGUUGAUUACUUGUUGAAUAGUAUAGGGAAACAGGUGGAUAGUCCGAUAAACAGGGGAGAUGCUGCCGAAUUUUCGAUAGAAAUUAUAUAUGUUUUACUUGUUGGAGGAUAUUAAGUAGUUAAGAAUAAGGUAACAUGGUUGAUUGAAACAUGUUAUUUGUUAAUUUAUCAAUAUUGACUUUUAAUAGCUAUAAAAGUUAAUUGUUCAACUAUGUGCUAUGUGUUUAUUUGACUGUAGUAUGCAUAUGGAUUUACGAAGGGUAGCUAAUUACGGAUUUUAUACGUUAUUCGAUAUUAGUUAACUUCAUCGGCAUCGACAACUGAAGUACCGUGUCACUCUUGGAGAAUCAACCGAGACUUGUCUAUCAAGGACAUUCAGAAGUAGUUAAAUAGCUUUGCGAAUUGAAUGAGGAAUAGUUCAUUAAGAUGAAGCUGUGCUGUGAGAUAGUCUAGUAGAAUUAAAUCGGUAUGAAAAUCAGCAGAACUGAGGCAAGUAUCCCUAUCUCCACUUAUUGUUCAAGUGAGAUAUUUUGUUCAAUCAUGAUAUUGAUGGAUUUAUUUCUCUCAAGCUUUCUUGCAAGUAAUUCUAUUCUCUAACUUAUAAUUACUGCAAGUAUUCCUAUUCAAAUUCUAUAUUUAGAAGCAAGCGCUCUUUCCUUGAAACUUUUAUUUAUUACAAAUGCACGACUUAAGUACGAUUUUGAGUUGGAAAGAGUAACUUACCAAAUUGAUACACAUGGUUUCAAAAUCUCUAUAAAUGAUUUUCAUAACUCGGUUUAGUUCCUCGGUUGUAAGACUUAUCCGUUGUAAUUAUACUUCCUCUGGAAUAAACCUUUUCUUAAAAAUGCAAUUCUUUAGAACUGGGAAGUAAAAACUCAGAUAUAAUUGGAGUUGCGUACGAGGACCGUUAUUUGGUAACGGCCCAGCCUAUUUGUUUGCGUAAGAGGACCAUUGUAAGGCAAUGGCCCAGCGUUAUUUGAAGACCUAGCUAGUCUUCAGUUCCGGAACAUGUUAUUUCAGGGCAAUGCGUAACCAUUGUCCAAGUUACUGUAGACUGAUCAUCUAAGUGACUAUUAACGUCCAAUAUAUCUGAAUGCUUUGGAAAUUAUAUGUACUUUUGAAUUGUUUUGGUUUCAAGUUAAAAGCAUGUUGUUUUGUAUACUUUCAGUUCAAUUAUUUUUUCUGCUUUAACUCCUGUUUCUUUUUAACUAUUACACUUGCUGGGCAUUCUUUUGCUCAUUCUUGCUAUUUCUUCUAACCCCUUUCAGAUAGUGUUAAAGAUGAUUCAUAUGUCUAGGCUGCGCGUAAGAAUAAUGCUAGGCAAGGAUUUCAAGUGAUUAGUUUUAACUGAAUGAUCAGGUAAAGUAUUCAGGAAGAUGUCUGCGAGAUUAGUGGUAAUUAGAGUUGGCUUAAUUUCGCUUCAAAUGUAAAAUAAAUUUAUUAAAUAUUAUCAGCUACUCUGAUAAUUUAGAUUGUGUUGUAAUAAGAUUUAUUAGUUGAUUUUUCCGAUUUCAAUACUAAAGCCUGUAUGCGAUCCUGUUUUCAGGGGGUGAAAUUGAGUUUUAAUUUAAAUCAUUUUUUUUAUUUUAUAUCCAGGUUUUGGUUUUGAAAUAUUUAUUUUUGC